GAUGAACGCUAGCGGCAGGCUUAACACAUGCAAGUCGAGGGGUAUAGUUCUUCGGAACUAGAGACCGGCGCACGGGUGCGUAACGCGUAUGCAGUCUACCUUUUGCAGAGGGAUAGCCCAGAGAAAUUUGGAUUAAUACCUCAUAGUAUGUGAGAAUGGCAUCAUUUUCACAUUAAAGUCACAACGGCAAAAGAUGAGCAUGCGUCCCAUUAGCUUGUUGGUAAGGUAACGGCUUACCAAGGCAACGAUGGGUAGGGGUCCUGAGAGGGUGAUCCCCCACACUGGUACUGAGACACGGACCAGACUCCUACGGGAGGCAGCAGUGAGGAAUAUUGGACAAUGGGCGCAAGCCUGAUCCAGCCAUGCCGCGUGCAGGAUGACGGUCCUAUGGAUUGUAAACUGCUUUUGUACAGGAAGAAACACUGGUUCGUGAACCAGCUUGACGGUACUGUAAGAAUAAGGAUCGGCUAACUCCGUGCCAGCCGCCGCGGUAACAC
rnacentral:rRNA from 1 species